AUGUACCACUAUAGCUACAAACUAACCACCAAACUGCGCAUGCCAGAAAAAACACCCACCUUAUCUGUUCGGGCAUCAACUCCCCUCUCUCCCCGUGCCUCUCCGUCCACUCCCCACGACCACCACCUCCUACCCCGCCGCCGCACAACCUCCACCUCCCACCCCGACACCACACGAUCUCCUUCCCCACUCCUCCCCGCCUCCUCCUCCUCCUCCCGGUGGGCGCUGCCCCGCCUCCUCCUCCUCCCGGCCGGCGCCGCCCCGCCUCCUCCUCCUCCCGUCCGGAGCCGCCCUGCCUCCUCCUCCUGCUGUCCGGAGCCGCCCUGCCUCCUACUCCUCCCGUCCGACGCCGACCUGCAGCGUCGCCCAGCGACGGCCCUGGCCCUGACCUGCUACAGCCAUGGACACUACACUGCAUGCGCUCGCUGGUGUCAACGACCCCUGCCCCUCCGGGCGCCGCCGCCCGACCCCAUCCACGGCCUCGGUCGCACCUGCCCGGCGUCGGAUCCAUGCCUCAACGGGUCAGACACUUCACAACGCCAGGCAUUGACCUCGGCACAAAGCAGAUCGAGGGUAGAAAAGCAGCGCGGGGGUUCCCCCAUUCCUCCUCUCCAGCAGGCCAUCCUCUCCGGCGACGACACCAAUAGGGAGAGUCUCUUAUCUCCUGUGGAGUUCGGCUUCAGGUGCUGUGUAGGUCAGUCUGGCGAUCAUGCAGUAUGGCUUGCUGUUCGACUGCUUCCACAUAGUCAGGGCGCCAUGUCACUUUGCUGGAGGAGGCGCAUCACGGGGCUUGCAGUUCUCUACAGCUUGUUGUGCAGCUAUUCACGGAGAAUGAAGCAGUGCCAUGUCAUGAUCUGA
rnacentral:rRNA from 1 species